UACGUAGGGGGCAAGCGUUGUCCGGAUUUAUUGGGCGUAAAGAGCGUGUAGGCGGCCAGGUAGGUCCGUUGUGAAAACUCGAGGCUUAACCUCGAGACGUCGAUGGAAACCAUCUGGCUAGAGUCCGGAAGAGGAGAGUGGAAUUCCUGGUGUAGCGGUGAAAUGCGCAGAUAUCAGGAAGAACACCCGUGGCGAAGGCGGCUCUCUGGGACGUGACUGACGCUGAGACGCGAAAAGCGUGGGGAGCAAACAGG
rnacentral:rRNA from 1 species